GACGAACGCUGGCGGCGUGCCUAAUACAUGCAAGUCGAACGCAGGGGGGACGGGUGAGUAACACGUGGGUAACCUCCCAUCAGAGGGGAUAACACUUGGAAACAGGUGCUAAACCGCUACUGAUGGAUGGACCCGCGGUGUAUUAGCUCGUUGGUGAGGUAACGGCUCAACAAGGACACGAGGCAUAGCCGGCCUGAGAGGGUGAUCGGCCACACUGGUACUGAGCCACGGCCCAGACUCCUACGGGAGGCAGCAGUAGGGAAGCUUCGGCAAGGGGCGAAAGUCUGACCGAGCAACGCCGCGUGAGUGAAGAAGGUGUGCGGUUCGUAAAACUCUGUUGUUAGAGAAGCGGUAUCUAACCAGAAAGCCACGGCUAACUACGUGCCAGCAGCCGCGGUAAUUC
rnacentral:rRNA from 1 species